rnacentral:rRNA from 1 species
GACGAACGCUGGCGGCUUGCUUAACACAUGCAAGUCGAACGGAAAGGCCCUGCUUUCGUGGGGUGUCAGCGUGGCGCACGGGUGUGUAACAUGUGAGUAUCCUGCCCUUGACUUUGGGAUAUCUUCAGGAAACUGGGGAUAAUACCGGCUAGGAGCUCCUGCUGCAUGGUGGGGGUCGGACAGUUUCGGCGGAUGGGGAUGGACGGUGGGCUUAUCAGCUUGUUGGUCGGGUAGUGGCUUACCCAGGCAUUGACGGGUAGCCGGCCCGAGAGGGUGGACAGCGACAAGAGGACUGAGAGACGGCGCAGACUCCAACAGGAGGCAGCAGUGGAAAGUAUGACACAAUGAGGCGAAGCCUGAGGCAGCAGCGCCGCGAGCGGAAUGACGGCCUUCGUGGGGUGAACCGCAGUCACCUGUGACGAAGCGGGAGUGACGGUAACAAGUAAAGAAGCACCGGCUAACUACGUG